AUAUUUCAGAUAACCAGCCGCCCUUUAUAGUUCUUCUUCGGAAAUUGAAACAGAAUUUAAUGCUUGUAGCCCUGUCCUAGUGGUCUGCAAGUUUGGCUUUUCUGUAACAUUU